GACGAACGCUGGCGGCGUGCUUAACACAUGCAAGUCGAACGGAAAGGCCCUGCUUUUGUGGGGUGCUCGAGUGGCGAACGGGUGAGUAACACGUGAGCAACCUGCCCUUGACUUUGGGAUAACUUCAGGAAACUGGGGCUAAUACCGGAUAGGAGCUCCUGCUGCAUGGUGGGGGUUGGAAAGUUUCGGCGGUUGGGGAUGGACUCGCGGCUUAUCAGCUUGUUGGUGGGGUAGUGGCUUACCAAGGCUUUGACGGGUAGCCGGCCUGAGAGGGUGGCCGGCCACAUUGGGACUGAGAUACGGCCCAGACUCCUACGGGAGGCAGCAGUGGGGAAUAUUGCACAAUGGGCGGAAGCCUGAUGCAGCAACGCCGCGUGCGGGAUGACGGCCUUCGGGUUGUAAACCGCUUUCGCCUGUGACGAAGCGUGAGUGACGGUAAUGGGUAAAGAAGCACCGGCUAACUACGUGCCAGCAGCCGCGGUGAUACGUAGGGUGCGAGCGUUGUCCGGAUUUAUUGGGCGUAAAGGGCUCGUAGGUGGUUGAUCGCGUCGGAAGUGUAAUCUUGGGGCUUAACCCUGAGCGUGCUUUCGAUACGGGUUGACUUGAGGAAGGUAGGGGAGAAUGGAAUUCCUGGUGGAGCGGUGGAAUGCGCAGAUAUCAGGAGGAACACCAGUGGCGAAGGCGGUUCUCUGGGCCUUUCCUGACGCUGAGGAGCGAAAGCGUGGGGAGCGAACAGGCUUAGAUACCCUGGUAGUCCACGCUGUAAACGGUGGGUACUAGGUGUGGGGUCCAUUCCACGGGUUCCGUGCCGUAGCUAACGCUUUAAGUACCCCGCCUGGGGAGUACGGCCGCAAGGCUAAAACUCAAAGGAAUUGACGGGGCCCCGCACAAGCGGCGGAGCAUGCGGAUUAAUUCGAUGCAACGCGUAGAACCUUACCUGGGUUUGACAUGGAUCGGGAGUGCUCAGAGAUGGGUGUGCCUCUUUUGGGGUCGGUUCACAGGUGGUGCAUGGCUGUCGUCAGCUCGUGUCGUGAGAUGUUGGGUUAAGUCCCGCAACGAGCGCAACCCUUGUUCACUGUUGCCAGCACGUUAUGGUGGGGACUCAGUGGAGACCGCCGGGGUCAACUCGGAGGAAGGUGGGGAUGACGUCAAGUCAUCAUGCCCCUUAUGUCCAGGGCUUCACGCAUGCUACAAUGGCUGGUACAGAGAGUGGCGAGCCUGUGAGGGUGAGCGAAUCUCGGAAAGCCGGUCUCAGUUCGGAUUGGGGUCUGCAACUCGACCUCAUGAAGUCGGAGUCGCUAGUAAUCGCAGAUCAGCAACGCUGCGGUGAAUAAGUUCCCGGGGCU
rnacentral:rRNA from 1 species